GCCUCGGUAGCUCAAUUGGAUAGAGCAUCGGACUUCGAAUCCGACGGUUACAGGUUCGAUUCCUGUCCGGGGCACCA
rnacentral:tRNA from 1 species